rnacentral:rRNA from 1 species
CAUAGGUUAAUGAGGCGAACCGGGGGAACUGAAACAUCUAAGUACCCCGAGGAAAAGAAAUCAACCGAGAUUCCCCCAGUAGCGGCGAGCGAACGGGGAGGAGCCCAGAGCCUGAAUCAGUGUGUGUGUUAGUGGAAGCGUCUGGAAAGGCGCGCGAUACAGGGUGACAGCCCCGUACACAAAAAUGCACAUAUUGUGAGCUCGAUGAGUAGGGCGGGACACGUGGUAUCCUGUCUGAAUAUGGGGGGACCAUCCUCCAAGGCUAAAUACUCCUGACUGACCGAUAGUGAACCAGUACCGUGAGGGAAAGGCGAAAAGAACCCCGGCGAGGGGAGUGAAAAAGAACCUGAAACCGUGUACGUACAAGCAGUGGGAGCCUCUUAAUGGGGUGACUGCGUACCUUUUGUAUAAUGGGUCAGCGACUUAUAUUCUGUAGCAAGGUUAACCGAAUAGGGGAGCCGAAGGGAAACCGAGUCUUAACUGGGCGUUAAGUUGCAGGGUAUAGACCCGAAACCCGGUGAUCUAGCCAUGGGCAGGUUGAAGGUUGGGUAACACUAACUGGAGGACCGAACCGACUAAUGUUGAAAAAUUAGCGGAUGACUUGUGGCUGGGGGUGAAAGGCCAAUCAAACCGGGAGAUAGCUGGUUCUCCCCGAAAGCUAUUUAGGUAGCGCCUCGUGAAUUCAUCUCCGGGGGUAGAGCACUGUUUCGGCAAGGGGGUCAUCCCGACUUACCAACCCGAUGCAAACUGCGAAUACCGGAGAAUGUUAUCACGGGAGACACACGGCGGGUGCUAACGUCCGUCGUGAAGAGGGAAACAACCCAGACCGCCAGCUAAGGUCCCAAAGUCAUGGUUAAGUGGGAAACGAUGUGGGAAGGCCCAGACAGCCAGGAUGUUGGCUUAGAAGCAGCCAUCAUUUAAAGAAAGCGUAAUAGCUCACUGGUCGAGUCGGCCUGCGCGGAAGAUGUAACGGGGCUAAACCAUGCACCGAAGCUGCGGCAGCGACACUAUGUG